rnacentral:tRNA from 1 species
GCUGUGAUAGUCCAGUGGUAGAAUUCUCACCUUCCAUGCAGGAGACCUGGGUUCAAUUCCCAGCCAAUGCA